GGUUUAAUUCUUAUGCAUCUUUCAUGAUAUCGAUUGCUUCGUUCAUCCGCUAGCCAGUCUGCCGAAGAUUACUGCUAUCAACAAACGGGUUUUGCAACUACUCAUGCCUACAAUAAUCAAAAGCCAUCUUCCUUAAGGCUGGUUCACACUGUGCGAUUUAUAAUAGUCCUUUACGAUGGUUACUCGUCAGACUGUACGAACAUGAUCCUCAUGUCACACUGUGGGAUGAACGCAUGAAAACUUGUCCGGAGUUUUACAUCAUCAAAACAUACACAUUCGAUGACAGUGAACUGCGUUACACACGGGACUGAAAUGGUGGCUAACAAGGACAUCUCUAUCAUUAAUUUUGAUCACGGCUUGUCUUGAAAAAUGAAGACAAUUUGACGUUCGUCGUAGAAGUCACACUGGAGGAUUGUGCGCCAAAUCUUCUGACACUGCCAGAAUUUCGUCGGAGGUAAACUUUGAUCGCAGCGGUCAUUAAUCGACUGUCUGUGAACAUGUCAAACUAGCGAUCAAAGACAACAGAUUUUAGGCUAGGAUUAUAGGAAUCUUUUAGGAUUUGCAAAAUUUGUCUCAGACGACCAAAUCGUGGCCAAAAUCGCACAGUGUGAACCAGCCUUUAAGUGUAAAAAUAUUCGAUUUUAUAAUAAAUUGUUGGUAAUAUUAUUCACUCGUUGAAAUAUUUUUUCCUGCAAAAAUAAAGUGAAGAAUGUGAAAAGAUAUUUCUAAAACAAGAUCAUUAUAGUUGUGUUUCUAAAUGAUUACUUAUCAAAAUCACAAGUAUAAACAGAACAAGAGAGGUAACAAAUCAACAAAAGAUACACACCAACAACAUAAUUGAAAGAGAGAGACGAAGUGAAAAGAAGGAUGUAAAACAUAAUGAAAAUUUAAAGAAUAUUCAGCUCAGCUGACAUUAGUGACUUCUAGACUGUUGUGGGAGGGGUUGAGCUCUCGUCACUUUAAUAAUUGCCCGACUUUCAGCAGUGCAAUGCCCAAUUAACCCGUGAUUUUUAUGAAACUCAUACAAAAAUUGGUUAAUUGUUAAUUUAAAGAAGCGGAAGUAGGCCGGAUGCUUGCAAGGUGAUGCGGGGUACAGCUUUGCAGAUUUGGUUCUUUAAUUGAGAACGAUGACAGAAAGUUUAGUCUUUCAUCUCUUAAUCCUGAUUUUGACUACAGAGUUUAGUGAUGUGAGGGCCUUUCAACUGAGCUCUGACCCUCCGAUACCCUAUCCAUCCGGUCGUUCGCAAAUGAAGGAACCUUUCCCAAUCAAGAAACUCUCGAAUCAAGUGAAAGAUUCGCCGGGCAGACAAAUCACACGUGUCAAAACUGUAGCUGUGAUUUGCCAUGAGAAUUACAUUGAGAUCGCGAUUAAGGUUGACCUCUUUGACGUUGGUUUACCUGUGGAUGCUUCAGAGCUGCGGCUUGGUGCCGACAGUCAGUUCAUUCCUUCGUGUAAAGUGACCGCGUUCUCCAAUAACGAGUACAUCAUAGCAGCUGAGCUCACUGACUGUGGCACUCAACACUGGAUUACAGAUGACUCUCUUAUAUACACCAACCUCCUUAUCUUCACUCCGCAACCCUCUCCAGACGGAGUGGUUCGCCUUGAGCAGGCAGUGGUUCCUAUUGAAUGUUAUUACAGCAGGAAAUUUGACGUUACCAGUAACCCCAUCAAACCAACGUGGAUUCCUUACAGUUCAACACAAUCUGCAGUGGAGGACUUGCAGUUUUCACUAAAGCUAAUGACAAGAUGGGAACAGGAGAAAACGGUGGGUCCAUUGGCCAUCUUUCCAAAGAAAAGCAAAAUGGGAUUUCUGGCUCCUCCUAGAGUGAAGGAGGGUGUUCCUCCUCUCCCUUCUCUCAGUAAAGAUAAGAAACCGAUGCCUCAUAGUAGCCUAUGGAAGAAUGGUGUCACUGCUGAGAUGGCUGGAAGACUGCAGAUGGAGGUGACUGGGCUUGUUACAGCUGCCAAGGAACAAAAGAUUAUGCACCAUCCUUCCAUUCCUCUCUGCAGCAAUCUGGGUCACCUCCUGCUCCCAGACAAGAUCAGACCUCAUAUUACCAAAAGCCCAACAAUUUCCAGCCCAGAAUUCAAGAGGGUUCUGGAAGUUAUUUCAGGUCCUUGCUACCAGCAAGCAAGCCUAUUCCCUCUUGGAGGAAAUUAAUUAUCCCGCAGGAGGAGGAUGAGGGAAUUAGUUCAGUGGUGAAGAUAAAGAAGACUAUGAUGGUGGAGAUGAAGACCAUGACUAUGAAGAGAAAAAAGGAGAGGCAAAAGAGUCUGAUCAAGGCAUGUAGAAGACUAGAAUCUUGCCAGAAGAAGAUUUUAAAGAACGCUUCAUGACUCAUGCCUCUAAGAAUGAGGAAGACUCUGGACUGCGUACAUUGGGUACAAGCCCUUCCCUACAAGACGAGGAGCCAGCUGACACAUAUCACCCUCCUAAGGACUCCUGAACUUCUAAACCAAAGGUUAUGUAUGCUGUCAAAGAUGAAGCAACCUGACUGAGGUGAAGGAAAACCUAGUUCGUGAAGCACACAAGCAGGAAACGAGGCAUAAGAGAGCUAAAUGUUGAAAGGGUUAAGCCCAGAACACACCAGGCUGAUGCCAACGAACUAGUGGUGACGAAAGCAGACUGCGGGGUUGGCUCACGUCGGCAGCAUCUGGGUCCAAAGUUGCCCUGACACACCAAACCUAUACUCGACACCCGACGGCCAAGUAGCAUGUCCGUUCUGCGCCUGCGUAAGAAGAAAUGCCUUUCCGUACCAGCAGGUGGCAGUAGCUGAACAGCCAAUCAGAAUGGUCAGAUAGCCCGACUGACCGACAAGCUCCGACGCCGAUUCAACAUGUCGAAACGGCCAAGAAAAGUCUACGAGGACCAACUUCAGCUGACGGUGCGGAACACGCUGAGAAAACUUUGAACGAAAACUGCCCGACGGCCGACCGUCGGCUUUGUGUGUUCAGGGCUUUAUGGAAAUUGCCUUCCAUUUCUAUUCUUGCAAACUCAAGUCUCUUCAAGUAGAUCUAUGCACAUGCAUAAUUUAAUUCCACACUGGCUUUAAAAAUGGCUUUUUAAACAUUUAAGUGGAUUGAACAAUGAAAUUAACUUAGGACAAAAUGUAUAACAGUUGUGUUGCUUUAGCUCUUUUUAAUUAUUUUGAACAAACGGCAAAUCUCUCUCUCUCUCCAGUGCACUUGUGGCUGCGUUCGAAACCGCAUACUCAAUGAGUGGGUACUUAAUUUCAAUAAGUACUUAAUUAUUGAGCGCUAAAAGAGAAGGUGCUUAAUAGCCAAAUCUCGUUGAGUAUCGGUGUGUUCCAAACAGGAUAUUUCACCCUCCGAAGGGCACUUCAAAGUGAAAACGAUCAUGGCUGCUAUAUUGGUCGUUCCAAACCGAAGUUCUUUCAACUGGCCACUUCAAAGGGCCAUCAGAAUGAAGGAUUUUGAAGGGUACAACUGAUGGACACUUCGGGCCCCCGUGAUCCUUUGCACAGGGAAGUUGUUUGA